UACGGGGGGAGCAAGCGUUGUUCGGAUUUACUGGGCGUAAAGGGCGCGUAGGCGGCGCGACAAGUCACUUGUGAAAUCUCUGGGCUCAACCCAGAACGGUCAAGUGAUACUGUCGUGCUAGAGUGCGGAAGGGGCAACUGGAAUUCUUGGUGUAGCGGUGAAAUGCGUAGAUAUCAGGAGGAACACCGAUGGCGAAGGCAGGUCUCUGGGCCACUACUGACGCUGAGAAGCGAAAGCAUGGGGAGCGAACAGG
rnacentral:rRNA from 1 species